CGGAGAGUUUGAUCCUGGCUCAGGACGAACGCUGGCGGCGUGGAUAAGGCAUGCAAGUCGAACGGGAUGGAGUUGCAAGCAAUUGCUUCUCCUGAGAGUGGCAAACGGGUGAGUAACACGUGGGUAACAUACCUCCGGGUGGGGGAUAACCCAGGGAAACCUGGGCUAAUACCGCAGACGUCUGACCGUCCAUGACGGACUGACUAAAGGUGGGGACCUUCGGGCCCGCCGCCUGGAGAUUGGCCCGCGCCCCAUUAGCUUGUUGGCGGGGUAACGGCCCACCAAGGCGACGAUGGGUAGCCGGCCUGAGAGGGUGUCCGGCCACACUGGGAUUGAGAUACGGCCCAGACUCCUUCGGGAGGCAGCAGUCGAGGAUCUUCCACAAUGGGCGAAAGCCUGAUGGAGCGACGCCGCGUGAGGGAUGAAGGCCCUUUGGGUUGU
rnacentral:rRNA from 1 species